GCAUAUCAAUAAGCGGAGGAAAAGAAACCAACAGGGAUUGCUCUAGUAACGGCGAGUGAAGCAGCAAUAGCUCAAAUUUGAAAUCUGGCGUCUUCGGCGUCCGAGUUGUAAUUUGUAGAGGAUGCUUCUGGGCAGCCACCGACCUAAGUUCCUUGGAACAGGACGUCAUAGAGGGUGAGAAUCCCGUAUGCGGUCGGAAAGGCACCCUACACGUAGCUCCUUCGACGAGUCGAGUUGUUUGGGAAUGCAGCUCUAAAUGGGAGGUAAAUUUCUUCUAAAGCUAAAUAUUGGCCAGAGACCGAUAGCGCACAAGUAGAGUGAUCGAAAGAUGAAAAGCACUUUGGAAAGAGAGUUAAAAAGCACGUGAAAUUGUUGAAAGGGAAGGGAUUGCAACCAGACUUGCUCGCGGUGUUCCGCCGGUCUUCUGACCGGUCUACUCGCCGCGUUGCAGGCCAGCAUCGUCUGGUGCCGCUGGAUAAGACUUGAGGAAUGUAGCUCCCUCGGGAGUGUUAUAGCCUCUUGUGAUGCAGCGAGCGCCGGGCGAGGUCCGCGCUUCGGCUAGGAUGCUGGCGUAAUGGUUGUAAUCCGCCCGUCUUGAAACACGGACCAAGGAGUCUAACAUCUAUGCGAGUGUUCGGGUGUCAAACCCCUACGCGUAAUGAAAGUGAACGGAGGUGAGAACCGCAAGGUGCAUCAUCGACCGAUCCUGAUGUCUUCGGAUGGAUUUGAGUAUGAGCAUAGCUGUUGGGACCCGAAAGAUGGUGAACUAUGCCUGAAUAGGGUGAAGCCAGAGGAAACUCUGGUGGAGGCUCGCAGCGGUUCUGACGUGCAAAUCGAUCGUCAAAUUUGGGUAUAGGGGCGAAAGACUAAUCGAACCAUCUAGUAGCUGGUUCCUGCC
rnacentral:rRNA from 1 species